CCUACGGGUGGCAGCAGUGAGGAAUAUUGGUCAAUGGCCGCGAGCCUGAACCAGCCAAGUCGCGUGAAGGAUGACUGCCCUACGGGUUGUAAACCUCUUUUAUCAGGGAAUAAAGUGAGGCACGUGUGCCUUUUUGUAUGUACUUUAUGAAUAAGGAUCGGCUAACUCCGUGCCAGCAGCCGCGGUAAUACGGAGGAUGCGAGCGUUAUCCGGAUUUAUUGGGUUUAAAGGGUGCGGAGGUGGGUGGUGAAGUCAGUUGUGAAAGUUUGGGGCUCAACCGUAGAAUUGCAUUUGAUACUGGAAGUCUUGAGUGCAGGUGAGGUAGGCGGAAUGCGUGGUGUAGCGGUGAAAUGCUUAGAUAUCACGAAGAACUCCGAUUGCGAAGGCAGCUUACUAAACUGCCACUGACAUUGAUGCUCGAAAGUGUGGGUAUCAAACAGGAUUAGAUACCCCGGUAGUC
rnacentral:rRNA from 1 species